GUGAGGAGACGGCGACUGGGGUAGCUGAGAGGACGACGGCUAUUCUCAGAGGAGCGGUAUAAGCCGGGACCCGGUGGAAGAGGGAGUUUAGAGCUGGGUCUAAGGAUUUAUGAGAAAAUAGGAAGAGCGGAGUGGCUGUAAAGAGGCCAAGACUGGGGGCGGAGGGGAUGGAGGAGAUUCUCGGGGACUGGGAAGGGGAGACAUUGAGGAAGAUGGAGGCCCUGGGCCUUGUGGGGAGGGGGAAAUCAAACCAACGGGCAUUUACUAAGCGCCUCUUUUGAGAAGAAAAAAGGAGGAAUCAUGGGCGGGGAGGGGGAGGCCAAGGAAUGGAUGAGGGGAAGGAGGGGUCAUGGACUUCAAGAGGGAGCCAAGACAAGGCGAAGCAUGGGGAAAUAGGAAAGGGGCUGAGAAGACGAGCCGUAGGGUCCGAGGGCCAGGGAAUUGUUGAAGAGGGAAGCUUGGGAAUGAAGGAGGACUGAGGGGAUCGAAAGGGAGAACUAAGGAAAAGAGAUAGAAGAUGGUGAAGGGGCUGAGGGGAAGGAAAAGUAAGGCGGCAAAGAAAAGGAGGUUAUGUGGGUGGGAAAAGGGGAAUGCUAAAGUUGAAGACGGCAUGGGAAUGAAGAGAAGUUGGAGAUGGGAAGGGUCUAAAAGAAUGGGAGGGGGUAGAUAAGGAUAUACAGAACAUAAGUCUAAUUAUGGUAAAGAAUCUGGCAGAAUGUUAGUGCAAAAGUAGUCAGUAACCAUAAAUAUAUUAAGCACUUUUUUUAGCUGCCUUAAUUACAAAAAUCAUUGACUAUAAAGAGACUCUUCUCUCAAUGUAAUUUAUAGUUUAAUGAUACUGGAAAAAGUUGAAGAGACUUUUUUUUAGUCUGUCAGGGUUCCAAUCUUAGGAUCAUAGAUUUAUAGCUGGAAGGGGCUUUAGAAGCUAUCUAGUCCAACUCCCUAAUCCUACAGAUGAGGAAACUAAUCUCCAGAGAGGUUAAGUGAUUUGCCCAAGAUCAAUCAGCUCUGUGAAGUAAGCUGACUAGAUCUGAGAUUUCAUCUGUAUUAAGGAGCUCUAGAUAAAGAAAAAGAGACUCAAAAGAGAAUGCAGGUUAGAACUCUAAAGAAAAUGUCUACUGAAUGGUCUUCUUGGACAAACCUAUCAACUAUUCAGAAAAUAGCACUGGGCCUUGGAAUCCCAGCCAGCCUGACUGUUGCGUAUAUCCUCUACCGAAGGUAUAGAGAAAGUCGAGAAGAACGGUUGACAUUCGUUGGGGAAGAUGAUAUUGAAGUGGAGAUGCGGGUCCCUCAGGAGGCUGUGAAGCUGAUCAUUGGCCGUCAAGGAACCAAUAUUAAACAGUUGAGGAAGCAGACUGGUGCUCGUAUUGAUGUGGACACAGAAGAUGUAGGUGAAGAGCGAGUGCUACUCAUCAGUGGCUUUCCUGUCCAGGUUUGCAAAGCCAAAGCAGCAAUCCACCAGAUCCUGACAGAGAACACCCCUGUGUAUGAACAGCUUUCAGUACCUCAGAGAUCUGUGGGCAGAAUAAUAGGGAGGGGUGGAGAGACCAUUCGUGCCAUCUGUAAAAGCUCUGGGGCCAAAAUCACCUGUGAUAAGGAAUCAGAAGGGACAUUACUACUAACAAGACUCAUAAAGAUCUCAGGAACACAGAAGGAAGUGGCAGCAGCCAAGCAUCUCAUCCUAGAGAAAGUUUCAGAAGAUGAAGAGCUUCGGAAGAGGAUUGCUCACUCAGCAGAAUCCAGAGUACAGCGCAAGCAACCCAUCAGUGUCAAGAGAGAAGAGAUAGCAGGGCCCGGGGCAGCUGGGGAGCCAGCCUUUCCUAAGGACAUGAGCACCAGUAAGAAGCUGACUCCCUCCCUGGCUGCCCCUCCUAGCCGAGGAGGAGGAGAUAUGGCUGGGCUGAGACUAGAACGGGUGGAACAUUCCCAUGAAAAAAUACUCAGCGACAACAGCUGCCAGGAGGAUGCUGGAGCCCAAGUCAGUCCAGAGAUGCCAAAGUUUGAAAUCCCCAGCCCUGACUUCAGUUUCCAUGCUGACGAAUAUCUAGAAGUCUAUGUGUCUGCCUCUGAAAACCCCAACCAUUUCUGGAUCCAGAUUAUUGGCUCCCGCAGCUUACAGCUGGACAAGCUGGUCAACGAGAUGACCCAAUACUAUGAGAACACUCAGUCACCUGAAGAUCUGACCGUGCACGUGGGUGACAUUGUAGCUGCACCUUUACCUACAGAUGGGCCCUGGUAUCGGGCCCGCGUUCUGGGUACCCUCGAGAAUGGGAACCUGGAUCUCUACUUUGUUGACUUUGGAGAUAAUGGAGAGAGCCCACUCAAGGAUUUGAGAGCCAUCAGGAGUGACUUCCUAAGCCUUCCAUUCCAAGCAAUAGAAUGUAGUCUAGCAAGGAUUGUCCCCUCAGGUGAACACUGGGAAGAGGAAGCCCUAGAUGAGUUUGACCGCCUCACUCAUUGUGCAGAGUGGAAGCCUCUGGUAGCCAAGAUUUCCAGCUAUGUGCAAACAGGGAUUUCUACUUGGCCAGAAAUUCACCUUUAUGACACAACCAACGGACAGAAUCUUGAUAUUGGACUAGAACUUGUGCGUCAGGGUUAUGCAGUUGAGCUCCCUCAAGAUGUGGGAGAAGGAGAUGCUGCUGUCCCUGAGAUGCUGCAGGAUAUAUUGGUCACAGAAACGGACACCUCUCUAGAUAGCCUGUUGUCUGAGGCCAAGAAAAGCCCUGGAGAGACACCACACACUCUCUCAUGCCUCAGUUUAUCAGAAGCUGCUUCGGUUUCUGGUGAUGAUGGUGUCCUUGCAGAAGAUGACUUGCUCUGAUGUCUGUGCUCUGGCUGGCUCAGCCAUCUGCCUGCUGUGUGAGUGGGGCUCUGAUUUGUGUCUUAUGGAGCAGGAAAACGGAAGUGGCAAGGUUUAUGGCAUGGGAACCUCUGGCUGGUCAGAAAAUUGAAUUCCAUAGAAGAUAACCCCACAUUUCCUCCUUUGUGAGCUACCUACUGAUUGACCUGCUGUGAGCCAAAUUCAGCUGCUGCUUUUCUAGCAGAAUGAAGGACUUUUCAGAAAAAGACUAUAAAUGUGUGUGCAUGUGUGUCUGUCAGAUGCUGCCUUAGAAGGAAUUCCCUUAGCACUGGCCACAGCCACUACCAGCAAUAAAAGCACUAUGCGGGGUAUUUGGUUGGAACUGGGAUGGAAAACAUUGGUUAGGGUUCUGGUAGUGUGGAAAUAAGGAACAUUCAGAAGUCUACUUCAUUUUCUGAGAUGACUUACUAGGAAAAUAUUUAAGUUGUAAUUAAGGAAGUUCUGAGCCUCCACGGGGUCUUUACAACUGUGGAAGAAGCAGGGUAGGAAAUCAACAGGGUUGAAUCAGAUACCCCAAGGAAAUUAGCAAGUAAUGCUUCCUCCCAGCUUCAGGUGGUGCCAUUAUUAUUGAAGGCAAGAUUUUUGAGACAGUCGUUUCCCUUCUGAAUCUAGGCGGUGGUGCAAGUCGGAAAACAAUGAGGGCUGGCUCAGGAACAUGUUAUAAGGUGCAAUGCCUUAGGUAGGUACACUACCUACCAUAUGUAUGUGCAUGAGUGUGUAUGUAAAAAUAAAGAGAACUCUGUAAGUCACUUAGGGGAAUCAUUACUAAAUAAAGUUUUGUUUUUAAAAAUGAA